rnacentral:rRNA from 1 species
AUGAACGCUGGCGGCGUGCCUAAUACAUGCAAGUCGAGCGAACGGACGAGAAGCUUGCUUCUCUGAUGUUAGCGACGGACGGGUGAGUAACACGUGGAUAACCUACCUAUAAGACUGGGAUAACUUCGGGAAACCGGAGCUAAUACCGGAUAAUAUUUUGAACCGCAUGGUUCAAAAGUGAAAGACGGUCUUGCUGUCACUUAUAGAUGGAUCCGCGCUGCAUUAGCUAGUUGGUAAGGUAACGGCUUACCAAGGCAACGAUGCAUAGCCGACCUGAGAGGGUGAUCGGCAACACUGGAACUGAGACACGGUCCAGACUCCUACGGGAGGCAGCAGUAGGGAAUCUUCCGCAAUGGGCGAAAGCCUGACGGAGCAACGCCGCGUGAGUGAUGAAGGUCUUCGGAUCGUAAAACUCUGUUAUUAGGGAAGAACAUAUGUGUAAGUAACUGUGCACAUCUUGACGGUACCUAAUCAGAAAGCCACGGCUAACUACGUG